rnacentral:rRNA from 1 species
AGAUAGGAAAACUCCGUUCCGAAGCGGGGGCAAUGUCGUCCUUCAAUAUACAAUAG